UCACUCGCCAUUUUUUUGAGAGAGAGAGAGAGAGAAAGAGCGAGCCAUCUUUUGGUUGAGAGUGAGAGAGCCGUAUUUUUGGUUGAGAGAGUUUUUGGUGGUUGAGAGAGAGAAACAGAGCACACCACUUUUUGUUGAGAGAGAGAGAGUGAGAGAGAGAAGGUUCAAGACACAUACACAGAAGGGGCCAUCAAGAAGUCGAGAGGGAGGGGAAGCAAAACAAAGAGCCAAAGAGGAGCACGCCAUCGAGAGCCCGAAGAGCUGGUGAAUAUAGAUGAUAGAUCCGGCGCACUCAAGCUCCAGAUCGUGUUGUAGAGGAUGACGAUGAAGAAUCUGUGGAUUACAGUAUGGCGAUGAGAAUCUAGAAACUCCUGAAGCCCUUCACGAUAGGGAGUGUUGGGGCAGCACGUCGCCACCAUCGUUAUUAGGACUCAAACAUCAACGAGGUGCAGUGCAGAUCAAUAGCGAGCAUUGGCCCGCAUUAGGUACAAUGUGGUCGACAUUAGGUACAUCGCCAUUUCACAGCAGCAGUAAUAGCUGCACCGGGACAGCCAACGCAGCAGCCAUAGCUGCAUCGGGCACAUAGAGGCUGCUCGAAACGUAAAAUCAAAGUGGGCGAUAAAGUAGCUAGCUUCAAGUUGCACGUUGAAUUGGUUGGGUGACAAUUUGCCUCAUCUUUCAAGCUUUCUAAUUGUCGUGUUAAGCCAAAUACUAUGACUAUUCCCUUAGAUCAAGAUAAUAAAACGAAAGAGAAAGAAAGGAGCAGGCAGGCUCCAGAACUUGAGGAGAUAAUCAGAUAACAGAGAUAGAUGUGGUCUGUUGAAGACUUGUCAGGGUCUUGAAGGGUACUUGUGUAUGAAUUCAUGUCAAAUGGUUCACUUGAGAAGAUUACAAACACCGUAAUUGCAGAUCGUUGCAUGUUCAGGCCAGAAAGGUUAUAUGAUACAGCACUAGGCAUUGCCAGGGGAAUUGAGUACCUACACCAAGGUUGUGCUCAAAGCAUCAUCCACUUUGACGUCAAGCCACAUAACAUUCUUCUGGACCAUCACUAUACACCAAAGAUUUCUGAUUUUGGUCUAGCAAAAUCAUAUUCAAGGAGCAAAGCAUUAUAACUAUUACAGAAGCAAAGGCACAAGUGGUUACGUUGCUCUUAAGAUGUGGAUAUUUGAUACCAGUGAUGAAGAGGGCCAUUGUCUCCUAACAAAGGACCUAGAAGCACGCUUGCAUCAAAACAAGAGGCCUCCUCAUGAAUAUACGGCUGUUGCUACUGGAAAAUCUUAAGUUGACAAUCAACAAGCACAUUGAGCAGAUACAGGUUACUUCUUGGUGCAGGUUGGAAAGGUGUUUUGUUACAAUCCAGGAUCUAGCAUAGUACGAGAUUAUCCUAUUUGUGUUCAUCAUAAUCAAGAGGAGGUCCCAGACGAGUAUUCAACAGAUGCCUCCCUUUAGAAAGAUGGUCCAUUAGAGAUGUGGCGGUUGUCAACUUAGCCUGAAAUUUGGCAAGAAAAUAUUGUUUUGUUCACGUCAAAUAUUCCUGAGGAUGGAAGGAUCAACAUCUUCAUGAUUGUGGUCAAUCACUUGCGUUUGCUACAACCACCUGCUAUUCUGGUUUUCUCGCAACCAUGAGUGGAGUUCUUUGAUGUGUGAUCGAUAGGCUUGUCUUAUCACGGGCCCAUGCUGAACCAACAAAAGAAAAAAGUCAGAUCUUACAAGAGAGAGUGAUAUCUUAAUCUAAUCUGCCUUAACUAUGUUAAUCAGUUUCACAAAUUACAGUUGCUGGUUAGCUGAAUUUGAUUUAGCAGAUAAAUACUGUUAGCUUUUUAAGACUUGUACAAGCUAUAUGUUUUCAUGUUCAAAAAGUGUUAGCCUUUUGGGCUUGCUUAUGUGAUGUUCAACAAGUAAAAAAACAGUUUAUUGUAAUAACACGUUCGGUAGUAAAUGAGAUCAAGAAAUACAUAACAUGUUCACAUUAUGCAGGCACACACAGAGAGAGAGAGAGAGAGAGAGCAUUGCUGACAUCUUCUAAUGUAUUUCUGUUAGCUGAUCACUGUGUGAAGAUUCUGUUGAUCUAUUGUUCUCUUGUUCAUUUUUAUCAUCUGUGAUUGGUUGCUUUAAUCUUUCCAGAAAGCACCAACAUACUCCUUUUUGUUUCCUUAUUCAUGCUUCAAUUUAGGUGAGCCACUGUAUGUAAGAAAAAGUUUUCAGUUGCUUUCCCUUGGACACAAAAUCUCCUAAUGCAUUUGAAGUAGGGGGCAUUCAAUUGCCAUAUAUCUAAAAUCUUUGAUGAUCUAAGACUUGUUGGUUCUCAAGAAUUCUAGCAAGGAUCUACAGUUUUUUGCUUCAAAGAUGCGUAGGUUAAUUACAUUAUGUAUUUGUAUACUUUUCAUGUGCUUUUGGUUUUGUUUUCUGGUGAUUGUUCGCUUUUUUAUUCUGUUUUUCAGCAAAAGUUGGUGCUGAAGUUGGACAUAUAUGAUGAUAAUUGCAGGUGUAAGGCCAUGAAAACUACCAUUGUUGCUGGAGUGGAUGUGGUUAAAUGGACUCGCAGAUCAAGACAAUGAAGCUGUUGUUGUUGCUCAAUGUGGCUGCCGCUCCAAUAUUGUACCAUCUCUUCUCCAAUGAGGCAACUGGCUGCAGAUCUUAGGGUGGAUUUGCUCCGCCUUUGCCAUCAGUGUCUUUGCAGUUUCCCUUUCCAUAACUUAUUCCUCUUCUCAACUGGCAAAUUCACUAUUAGCACACUUCUGUAAAAGAUUGAUUUGUCCUAUAUCAGUCUCCAGAAUGGAUUGUUGUAGUUUAACAAUUUUUUAUUUUCACUUUAUUACUAAGAAGUAUUUUAGUUUGACAUUAA